CAGUACACAUUCCCGACAGUGCAGUCCUUUCCCAAAUGCUCGGCUCCGCACCUCGAUACUUAUCAGGCAAAAAUAAGCAAAAUAAGACCGAAUGAUCCCUGUACUUGUUUAAUAUUGACUAGAAGAAGACUUUCUUGUUGUUUGGGGAUGUUUUUCUUCAAAACAGGCAGCAGAAACUUCGCCUGAUCCCGACAACACAGCGAACCUGUUUUGUUUUGUUCGCAGUCACGGGAUCUGCUGCGGUGGCGGAGAGCCAAUAACCCGGCCAGGAAAUCGAAACUACAGCCAUAUAAAUUAUGAGGAAAAGGAAAACUUUAACCGGUAGCUGGAAGAUUUCGGUUUCGUCUAACGAACCCAGUUCUGAUGGAUGUUCAUUUAAACUGCAGGAAGGACACUAUUAAUGGCUGCUUUAGGCUAUAGUGGAGCUAGAAGACGAAGACAAAGGCAGCCAAAUAAAACAAAAUAGCAAAGGCUGUUGAAGACGACGAAGAAUAUAACCCCUCGGUCGAGGUACACAAGUUUAUAAAGGCCUGAAUAGCAGCUGUGUGAUUGGUCUGCUCCUGUUUAUGACCACCGAUGACCCGCCCCCGAUCUUCAACGUCAUCUUUGGAAAAGCACGUGAUUCCCUUUCUCUGGAAAAGAGGAAAACGAGAUGUCUUACUGAUGGAUUGUUGCAGCUGAAAAGCAUUUUAACUGAAAUAAUGUAAUGAACUAUUUAAUUUAUAUUUAUGGACACGUAUAAAGAUAUAGGUGAGGCAAAGACCUUUUUUUUUGUUGCAAUCAAAUCAGCUUUUGGACAAAUUGUGUUCAAAUUGUUCAACCAACAGCAGAACUAAAAAGUCAAAGUUAACCAGCCAAAUGUUUAAUCAAACUACAUACAAAGAUAAGGCGACACAUUAUGUCAUACUUUUGAUUUAUAUCAUCAUUUUGGUUGAUUAUGUCUCAGACAAAGCUGUGUUUUUGAAAGAUGGCAGUGAAAUGUAAAUGUACCACUCAAUAAAGUUUAAAUAUUAUGUGCAA